CUAAAAGCAGAUUUUGUGGUCUUCCCAUUGAAACUUCGUGACAUCACCAGUAACAACAUAAAGCAUAGCUUGAUUAUCUCCUUCUAUUAUGACCUGAGACAGAUUUAAAUCCUUCACCCAUUGCAGAGCUUUUAACAUCACCAUAGCCUCUGCCUGAUUAAUAUUCAUUGCUCUUCCUGAGUAUGCCACUGCGCCCAAGAAGAUUCAUGUAUGAUCACGCAUCACCGAAGUAAAACUAGCAAGAUUAUUGUUAGUUUUCAUUGAAGCAUCUAUAUUAAAAAAAUCCAAUUUAAUGGGGGUUUUGUCCAAUUUCCCUUCAAUCUAAAUUUUUCACGAAGGCGAGAUUUAAUCUCAUAAUCUACACAUAAUUCCCUAAUUUGAGAAAUUAAUUUUCUAUGGUGAUUUUUCUUGUUAUCGAAACCCUUUCACAUCUUGAUUUCUACAGGUGCCACAUAGUCACAACAGCAAGAUGAAGAAGAUGCGGAUUUUCAACUCCAAUUGAAGGAGAAUCAAACCAACUUUUGAUCCAUUCCUAAACAUCACCCUGUCUUGUCGCAGAGUUUUGCAGAGCCGAAGAAACUCCAAACCAAACUAUUUCUACAUAAUUACAUUUCAUCAAUAAGUUUACCAUAUGGCCAGAGGAAGAAGUAAGCUUAUGGAUGAUACUCUUCAAAUUCAUGAUGGAAUUACCUGAAGCUUUUUUGAACAGUAAACAGUCGUAUGCGAAGAAAAGUGAGUGAUAUCAGAACUCUUUAUGGCUGGCUUGACAGGUUCUAUCAUCUUCUUCUCUGCUGCAUUGGUAAAUGGUGAGCCUGUAAAAGGGAUAUAUGAAGAACUAAUUUGUAGGACUUAGCUGGAUGAAUGGAGAAACUACUUCUGUCUGAUGAAAACAAGGCGAUGUUCAAAUCUCCUAAAAUGACCCAAGUUGAACAUUCAGCACCGCAACAUAUGAGUAGAAAGUGGAUACUUUAUGGUCAUCUUAUGGAAUAACAAAAGCUUUCUUGGUACUAUUUUUCCUUCUGUUAGUUUUCUUUGGAGAAAUCAUUAUUUUUUCUCCAGAAGCAAACAUGGGAUUAUUUUCUCUUGGGUCAGGUACUUCCCCAUAAUCUUCACCAAAUUUAAUAGUUAUAUUGUUGGGAAUAUAUGUUUUAAAAACAUUAUUGAUUUCCAAAAAUUAGUGUCUCAUUUAAAUGGUUUAAAUGUGAUAAUUAUUCUCUCUCUUAAAGAAUAAAUUUGUUUUGAGUUAAUAUCAAAAACCGUUUUUUCUUGAAUGAGUUAAUGAUGUUAAUUAACAUCUUAAUAAUGUUUUCCAUAAAAGAAAAAUUAAUUUUUCAUUAAAUUUGACCGUUAUAUAAUUGUGGUUUUAAUGGUGUUAACUCCACCAUAAUAACAUUUUCAUAUAGCACUUAAAUGUUUUGAAAUUCUUGAGUACAAAUCAGAAUUUUGGUUGGAAAAAACAAAAUUAGAAGAAGAAGAAGAAGAGUUUUAGGAUCCUUUUUAUUAUAGAGAGUUUUCCUUUAUGUUUCUUGAGUUUUACAGAAAAAUGGAUUUUUGUGAGAAAGAAAAAUAAGUGUGUGAACAUCUCUUAUUUUUCUAAAUGAGUUUCUGAGCAAGAAUGAAGUGUAGAAGUUUCACAUCCUCUGAACGUGCAACAACGAUUGUGUAAGAGAUUGAUCUCGACUGUUUUAUCCUGGGGACGACGCACAAUUGAAGAACUGCUUGUACAAUCUUGGGCAGAGCCGCGAAACGUCUUAAAGAAAGCGACGUAGUUCGCGACUCAUCCAUAACGUUAUUUGUUUCGUGUUUGAUUUAUUUGUUGUGUAGGCAUAAUUCGGCAAUUGAUUCCAACAAUUUUAAGACGUUUCUUCUGCCAUGGAAAUCAAAAGAAAAACGAUUGCUAAAACGCGAUAAGUAUCAUUGUUUUGUUUUAUUUCGUUUUGUAUAAUUUUUCUUUGACAAUUGAAAAUGAUGCUUGAAAUUUUAGGUAACCUGAUACCUAGAGUUAAAGUUUAUGUCUGAUUUUGAUGGAUUAGGAUUGUAACAUGGAUAAUAUUUUUAUCAUGAAUAUCUAACAUAGAAAAAUAUUGUUGAUGUGAAACGAAUGUUUUUAACAUGUCGUAGAGAUGUAUUUUUAUCUCCUAUAUGGAAAUGAAUUGGGUCUACAAGUUUUAACCUGAUAUAUUAGACAUCGUGAGGGUCAUCCAUGUAUAAUUUCAGAAUUUUUGGAGUCCUAAAAAUAUUUUUAAAGUAUUAUAGAAAACUGCACAACGUUGCUGAAAAUUUCUGACGAGCAGAAAUUUAGUCCUUGUUGAAUUCGUUUUUAUGAUCUUUGUGUUGAUAUUUUGGAUUUGUGUAUAAUAUGAAACUUGUAGAUAAGGAACUUAUCUUCAAAACUCUUUUUGAAAUUUUCUAUUUGGAUUUUUAGUUUGAGAGAUGUAGUGAUUUCAAAAUCGUCGUGUAUUUUUUUCAAAAAUAUAAGACAUAUAUGAUACUUGAGAUUAGAGAUUACAGAUGUAAGAAAUUACUUUAAAAAUCGUGUUUUGAUUCUAGUAUUUCGUACUCUUGAAUUGGUAAUGAAAAGGAAAAUUAUUGUUAGCAAUCAAACUAGUGCACCACAUAUGUUUGAUAAAAUGCUUGAUAGAGAGUUAUAAAUAUAUGAUGUUAUAACUAUAUAAUUUUGAAUCUUUAUUUGACACUCAAGAGAAACUUGGAGUACUAUAUUUUCUUUGAUUUUCAAGUAAUUAUGUAAAUACAUACCUUACUUAUUUUCAGUUACAAAUGCUUACAUCUAAAUGAUUGUAACAGGUGAAAAUUCACUUACUUGAGCAAAUUUUUAUUUUCCAAUGAAAUAAAAUUGCGGGAGAUUAAUCGAUUUGUGGAGCAAUGGGGUUGCUGAUUUCUUUGUUGGUAUGCAAAGAGUGGACAAUGGUUUAUAACCAAUUGAGCUUUAAAAGCAAUUGAGGUAUGGUUGAUGAACUAUUUGUAGUUAUUGUA